UGCAUAGAGACAUGAGGAUAUCCAUAUAUAUUAGGUAAACUAUGACCAUUAGUUGUUUAAGACCUGGGCAGCUCUACAGGAUCGACCUGCCUAAUUUGGACCUGGAAGACUGCAUGGGCCUUGUCAACCCCAAAUUUAUAUAUCUGAAAACUCAUUCAACCUGUUGACAAGGGUCCACCAACCCUUGACCCGCCCAGGGG
rnacentral:lncRNA from 1 species